rnacentral:rRNA from 1 species
UACGAAGGUGGCAAGCGUUGUUCGGAUUUACUGGGCGUACAGGGAGCGUAGGCGGUUGGGUAAGCCCUCCGUGAAAUCUCCGGGCCCAACCCGGAAAGUGCGGAGGGGACUGCUCGGCUAGAGGAUGGGAGAGGAGCGCGGAAUUCCCGGUGUAGCGGUGAAAUGCGUAGAGAUCGGGAGGAAGGCCGGUGGCGAAGGCGGCGCUCUGGAACAUUGCUGACGAUGAGGCUCGAAAGAGUGGGGAGCAAACAGG